UACGGGGGGGGCAAGCGUUGUUCGGAAUUACUGGGCGUAAAGGGCUCGUAGGCGGCCAACUAAGUCAGACGUGAAAUCCCCAGGCUCAACCUGGGAACUGCGUCUGAUACUGGAUGGCUUGAAUUCGGGAGAGGGAUGCAGAAUUCCAGGUGUAGCGGUGAAAUGCGUAGAGAUGUGGAGGAACACCAGUGGCGAAGGCGACUCUCUGGUCUGUAACUGACGCUGAGGCGCGAAAGCGUGGGGAGCAAACAGG
rnacentral:rRNA from 1 species